GACGAACGCUGGCGGCGUGCUUAACACAUGCAAGUCGAACGGAAAGGCCCUGCUUGCAGGGUCCUCGAGUGGCGAACGGGUGAGUAACUCGUGGGUGAUCUGCCCUGCACUUCGGGAUAAGCCUGGGAAACUGGGUCUAAUACCGGAUAGGAGCCAUUUUUAGUGUGAUGGUUGGAAAGUUUUUUCGGUGUAGGAUGAGCUCGCGGCCUAUCAGCUUGUUGGUGGGGUAAUGGCCUACCAAGGCGGCGACGGGUAGCCGGCCUGAGAGGGUGGACGGCCACAUUGGGACUGAGAUACGGCCCAGACUCCUACGGGAGGCAGCAGUGGGGAAGAUUGCACAAUGGGCGCAAGCCUGAUGCAGCGACGCCGCGUGGGGGAUGACGGCCUUCGGGUUGUAAACUCCUUUCGCUAGGGACGAAGCUUUUUGUGACGGUACCUAGAUAAGAAGCACCGGCUAACUACGUG
rnacentral:rRNA from 1 species